rnacentral:rRNA from 1 species
CCCCUAGUAACUGCGAGUGAAGCGGGAAAAGCUCAAAUUUAAAAUCUGGCGGUCUUUUGGCUGUCCGAGUUGUAAUCUGGAGAAGCGUUUUCCGCGUCGGACCGUGUAUAAGUUCUCCUGGAAUGGAGCGUCAUAGAGGGUGAGAAUCCCGUCUUUGACACGGACCACCGAUGCUUUUGUGAUGCGCUCUCAAAGAGUCGAGUUGUUUGGGAAUGCAGCUCAAAAUGGGUGGUAAAUUCCAUCUAAAGCUAAAUACAGGCGAGAGACCGAUAGCGAACAAGUACCGUGAGGGAAAGAUGAAAAGCACUUUGGAAAGAGAGUUAAACAGUACGUGAAAUUGUUGAAAGGGAAACGCUUGAAGUCAGUCGCGUUGUCUGGGGAUCAACCUUGCUUUGGCUUGGUGUAUUUCCUGGUUAACGGGUCAGCAUCAAUUUUGAUCGUUGGAUAAAGUCUAGUUGAAUGUGGCAUCCCUCGGGGUGUGUUAUAGCUUCUAGUCGCAUACAACGGUUGGGAUUGAGGAACUCAGCACGCCUUUAUGGUCGGGGCAAUAUCUGCCCACGUAACGUGCUUAGGAUGCUGGCGUAAUGGCUUUAAACGACCCGUCUUGAAACACGGACCAAGGAGUCUAACAUGCCCGCGAGUGUUUGGGUGGAAAACCCGGACGCGUAAUGAAAGUGAAAGUUGAGACCUCUGUCGUGGAGGGCAUCGACGCCCGGACCAGACCUUUUGUGACGGAUCCGCGGUAGAGCGUGUAUGUUGGGACCCGAAAGAUGGUGAACUAUGCCUGAAUAGGGUGAAGCCAGAGGAAACUCUGGUGGAGGCUCGUAGCGAUUCUGACGUGCAAAUCGAUCGUCAAAUUUGGGUAUAGGGGCGAAAGACUAAUCGAACCCUCUUUGUG